GAUGAACGCUGGCGGCGUGCAUAACACAUUCAAGUCGAACGGGGCAGCAAUGCCUAGUGGCGGACGGGUGUGUAACGCGUGAGCAACCUGCCUGUGUGAGGGGGACAACAGCCGGAAACAGCUGCUAAUACCGCAUGAAGUAUUCGAAUCGCAUGGUUUGGAUACCAAAGAUUUAUCGAACAAAGAUGGGCUCGUGACCGAUUAGCUAGAGGGUGAGGUAACGGCUCACCAUGGCGACGAUCGGUAGCCGGACUGAGAGGUUGAACGGCCACAUUGGAACUGAGAUACGGACCAGACUCCUACGGGAGACAGCAGUGGGGAAUAUUGGGCAAUGGGCGAAAGCCUGACCCAGCGACGCCGCGUGAAGGAAGACGGUCUUCGGAUUGUAAACUUCAAACAACAGGGAAGAAACAAAUGACUGUACCUGUUAGGAAGCCACGGCUAACUACGUGCCAGCAGCCGCGGUAACAC
rnacentral:rRNA from 1 species